rnacentral:rRNA from 1 species
UACAGAGGGGGCAAGCGUUGUUCGGAAUUACUGGGCGUAAAGGGCGCGUAGGUGGCCCGCUAAGUCGAACGUGAAAUCCCCGAGCUCAACUCGGGAACUGCGUCCGAUACUGGUGGGCUUGAAUCCGGGAGAGGGAUGCGGAAUUCCAGGUGUAGCGGUGAAAUGCGUAGAUAUCUGGAGGAACACCGGUGGCGAAGGCGGCAUCCUGGACCGGCAUUGACGCUGAGGCGCGAAAGCGUGGGUAGCAAACAGG